GACGAACGCUGGCGGCGUGCCUAACACAUGCAAGUUGAGCGACGAACCAGGGCUUGCCCUGGGGCAAAGCAGCGAACGGGUGGGUAACACGUGGGUAACCUACCCCGAUAACCGGGACAACCCGAGGAAACUCGGGCUAAUACCGGAUGUGCUCACUGGACUUCGGUUCAGUGCGUAAAGGAAGCUUCGGCCUCCGUAUCGGGAGGGGCCCGCGGCCCAUUAGUUUGUUGGUGAGGUAACGGCUCACCAAGACCGCGAUGGGUAGCUGGUCUGAGAGGACGAUCAGCCACACUGGGACUGAGACACGGCCCAGACUCCUACGGGAGGCAGCAGUGGGGAAUCUUGCGCAAUGCGCGAAAGCGUGACGCAGCAACGCCGCGUGGGGGAAGAAGGCCUUCGGGUUGUAAACCCCUUUCAGGAGGGACGAAGGUUCGGCGGUGAAUAGCCGUCCGGACUGACGGUACCUCCACAAGAAGCCCCGGCUAACUACGUG
rnacentral:rRNA from 1 species